rnacentral:rRNA from 1 species
UGGGGAAUUUUGGACAAUGGGCGCAAGCCUGAUCCAGCCCUGCCGCGUGCGGGAAGAAGGCCUUCGGGUUGUAAACCGCUUUUGUCAGGGAAGAAAAGACUCCGGAUAAUACCUGGGGUUCAUGACGGUACCUGAAGAAUAAGCACCGGCUAACUACGUGCCAGCAGCCGCGGUAAUACGUAGGGUGCAAGCGUUAAUCGGAAUUACUGGGUGUAAAGCGUGCGCAGGCGGUUAUGCAAGACAGAUGUGAAAUCCCCGGGGUCAACCGGGGAACUGGAUUUGUGACCGCAUAGGUAGAGUACGGUAGAGGGGGAUGGAAUUCCGCGUGUAGCAGUGAAAUGCGUAGAUAUGCGGGGGGACACCGAUGGCGAAGGGAAUCCCCUGGACCUGUACUGACGCUCAUGCACGAAAGGGUGGGGGGCAAACAGG